AUGAGAUGCUUAGAAUGGCACCUUUGAGGUACGAUAAAUAGGAGAAGACAUUGAAGGUGGCAAUGCCAUAACAGCAACCAACCCAGAUUAGGGAAGUCUUCUAUGUAGAAGGGAGGGGAGAGAGAGAGAGAGAGAGAGAGAGAGAGAGAGAGAGAGAGAGAGAGAGAGAGAGAGAGAGGGGCGUUGCAUGGUGGUAAUGGCUUCUUCUGGUAGCCAAGGAUGACUUGCCUGUGGCUGUGAAUGGGAUCUCUUUCUCUCUGGUGGAUCGGUCUCUCACUACUAUGCACAUCAGGCAGUCUCCUUGGCUAGCCCGAGUGGCUCUUACCCUUCAUGCCAGCCUCUCAUCUCUUCUCAAGAGCCGUUCGAUCAAGAGAGGCCUUCCACAUGCGGGACAACGAAUCGCCAUCGGUUCAUCACUCCCUGCAUCGGCGCCUCGUGUACAGAGGACGAACAGAUUGCUCUGCUGGUAUCCGUAGCUCUGCUCAGUGAGAGACGCCAUGCUUAGGUUCAGGAGAUGACUCGCUGAACCAGGAUUCAUGUGCUUCGGUUCAUUUAGCUGUACAGUGCAUCCACACUUUUUUCAUGGGCAAGAAUACUUGGACUGACACAAUCCUUGGUUUUAUUUUUUAUACAGUAGUAUGUAUAGUAAUUAAAAUGGGGAACAGGCUAGGUCAGUCGACUAGGGAUAGUUGCCAGACACCUGACGAGGUCUUACUAUCAAUAUUCAUGUCAUGUGCCGUACUGGCCGCCACUGCCAUUGUGCAUGGUUUGAGUCAAAGCGAUCUCCGAUCUGGCCAAGUUCCUA